rnacentral:rRNA from 1 species
AGUGAACGCUGGCGGUAGGCCUAACACAUGCAAGUCGAACGGCAGCACAGUAAGAGCUUGCUCUUACGGGUGGCGAGUGGCGGACGGGUGAGGAAUACAUCGGAAUCUACUUUUUCGUGGGGGAUAACGUAGGGAAACUUACGCUAAUACCGCAUACGACCUACGGGUGGAAGCAGGGGAUCUUCGGACCUUGCGCGAUUGAAUGAGCCGAUGUCGGAUUAGCUAGUUGGCGGGGUAAAGGCCCACCAAGGCGAGGAUCCGUAGCUGGUCUGAGAGGAUGAUCAGCCACACUGGAACUGAGACACGGUCCAGACUCCUACGGGAGGCAGCAGUGGGGAAUAUUGGACAAUGGGCGCAAGCCUGAUCCAGCCAUACCGCGUGGGUGAAGUAGGCCUUCGGGUUGUAAAGCCCUUUUGUUGGGAAAGAAAAGCAGCAGGUUAAUACCCCGCUGUUCUGACGGUACCCAAAGAAUAAGCACCGGCUAACUUCGUG